rnacentral:lncRNA from 1 species
UUCAGCAGAAGCAACUGUUACAGGUAUUGUUAAUAAUAUCCUAUAUGCAAUGCAUGCAUUUGGAAAAGAAUCUGUUUUUUUAUAAACUUAAAAUAUCAAUAAGGGUACUAGUUUCUGUUUGUAAAAAUUCAAAAUUUUUAACUCUGAAAACAGAUCAAUACCAUCAAUAUCAGAAUAUUCACCAUGCUUUAAAAAGUUUUCAAGAUUAAGACAACAUUUUUUCAAAUCAUCUUCAUUCAAAGAUUUGAACUUUCUAAAAUUAAACAAAAAACUAAAAACAUUUUCAUAUACGGUAAAUUGUUCAAACCUAUUUUGAAUUGAAAAAAUAGCUUGAUCUACUAUAUAUAAAAAGUAAUCAAUUCUAAAAGAUUCUUCACCUGAUCUUGUUAUCUCAUCAUCAUUAUUUUCAUCAAAAUAUUUUUUUUCUACGGAUCACACGUUUUUCACAAAAUAUAGGUUCUAUUUUCAUUUCAUUUACAAUUUCUUUAGAUGAAUUCAAAGCAUUCAUGAAUCCAUUUUCCCUAUAACUUUUCAAAUAAGAAAGAAGACCUUUUAAUUGAUCUAUAGCAACAUCAAUAUGCAUGUCUUCAGAUUGUAAAAUCUUACUAACUGAGUUAACAGCAAACAAUAUAUCGUACCAAAUAUUCAUGCCUAAUAAAAAUUCAAAAUUUUCAAUCUCAUAUGUAGCUAAACAUGUGGCUUCACUCUUUAUUUUAGGAUCUUCACUAGUUU